rnacentral:rRNA from 1 species
UACAGAGGGGGCAAGCGUUGUUCGGAAUUACUGGGCGUAAAGGGCGCGUAGGCGGCCUGUUAAGUCUAACGUGAAAUCCCCGGGCUCAACCCGGGAACUGCGUCCGAUACUGGCAGGCUUGAAUCCGGGAGAGGGAUGCGGAAUUCCAGGUGUAGCGGUGAAAUGCGUAGAUAUCUGGAGGAACACCGGUGGCGAAGGCGGCAUCCUGGACCGGCAUUGACGCUGAGGCGCGAAAGCCAGGGGAGCAAACGGG